rnacentral:rRNA from 1 species
UAUCAACGCUGGCGGCGUGCCUCAGACAUGCAAGUCGAACGCGAAAGUCCCCUUCGGGGAGUGAUUAGAGUGGCGCACGGGUGAGUAACACGUAGGUAAUCUACCUUCGAGUGGGGAAUAACUCAGGGAAACUUGAGCUAAUACCGCAUAAUGCAGCGGCACCACAUGGUGACAGUUGUUAAAGCAUUUAUGCGCUUGAAGAGGAGCCUGCGGCGGAUAGCUAGUUGGUAAGGUAAUGGCUUACCAAGGCUACGAUCUGUAACCGGCCUGAGAGGGCGGACGGUCACACUGACACUGAAUAACGGGUCAGACUCCUACGGGAGGCAGCAGUCGGG